UCCGACACCGUGAUGAGAGCAUAGUUCAGCAGAUGAAACCAUGAAGAACAAGAGCAUUUGUCUUUCGCCUCCUAGCUGAGUGUCGGC